UACGUAGGGGGCUAGCGUUGUCCGGAAUCAUUGGGCGUAAAGAGCGUGUAGGCGGUCCGGUAAGUCCGCUGUGAAAGUCGGGGGCUCAACCCUCGAAUGCCGGUGGAUACUGUCGGGCUAGAGUGCGGAAGAGGCGAGUGGAAUUCCUGGUGUAGCGGUGAAAUGCGCAGAUAUCGUAAGGAAGACCAGUGGCGAAGGCGGGUCUCUGGACAGUUCCUGACGCUGAGGGCAC
rnacentral:rRNA from 1 species